CUUUUGGAUGGACCCGCGGUGUAUUAUCUAGUUGGUGAGGCAACGGCUCACCAAGGCGAUGAUACGUAUCCGAACUGAGAGGUUGAUCGGCCACAUUGGGACUGAGACACGGCCCAAACUACUACGGGAGGCAGCAGUAGGGAAUCUUCCACAAUGGACGCAAGUCUGAUGGAGCAACGCCGCGUGAGUGAAGAAGGCUUUCGGGUCGUAAAACUCUGUUGUUGGAGAAGAAUGGUCGGCAGAGUAACUGUUGUCGGCGUGACGGUAUCCAACCAGAAAGCCACGGCUAACUACGUGCCAGCAGCCGCGGUAAUACGUAGGUGGCAAGCGUUAUCCGGAUUUAUUGGGCGUAAAGCGAGCGCAGGCGGUUUUUUAAGUCUGAUGUGAAAGCCCUCGGCUUAACCGAGGAAGCGCAUCGGAAACUGGGAAACUUGAGUGCAGAAGAGGACAGUGGAACUCCAUGUGUAGCGGUGAAAUGCGUAGAUAUAUGGAAGAACACCAGUGGCGAAGGCGGCUGUCUGGUCUGUAACUGACGCUGAGGCUCGAAAGCAUGGGUAGCGAACAGGAUUAGAUACCCUGGUAGUCCAUGCCGUAAACGAUGAAUGCUAGGUGUUGGAGGGUUUCCGCCCUUCAGUGCCGCAGCUAACGCAUUAAGCAUUCCGCCUGGGGAGUACGACCGCAAGGUUGAAACUCAAAGGAAUUGACGGGGGCCCGCACAAGCGGUGGAGCAUGUGGUUUAAUUCGAAGCAACGCGAAGAACCUUACCAGGUCUUGACAUCUUUUGAUCACCUGAGAGAUCAGGUUUCCCCUUCGGGGGCAAAAUGACAGGUGGUGCAUGGUUGUCGUCAGCUCGUGUCGUGAGAUGUUGGGUUAAGUCCCGCAACGAGCGCAACCCUUAUGACUAGUUGCCAGCAUUUAGUUGGGCACUCUAGUAAGACUGCCGGUGACAAACCGGAGGAAGGUGGGGAUGACGUCAAAUCAUCAUGCCCCUUAUGACCUGGGCUACACACGUGCUACAAUGGAUGGUACAACGAGUUGCGAGACCGCGAGGUCAAGCUAAUCUCUUAAAGCCAUUCUCAGUUCGGACUGUAGGCUGCAACUCGCCUACACGAAGUCGGAAUCGCUAGUAAUCGCGGAUCAGCACGCCGCGGUGAAUACGUUCCCGGGCCUUGUACACACCGCCCGUCACACCAUGAGAGUUUGUAACACCCGAAGCC
rnacentral:rRNA from 1 species